CAGCAUCAACAUCAACAAAACCUUCAACAGAAACAACAAUGGGAAACAGCACAGAGGCAAAGAUGAACCAAACACCACCAACAACCAAUCAAACUAAACAACAAGCAACCAUCAUCGGUGUGGCUGUGGGUUUAGCAUCACUCUUGAUAAUUGUUUUGGUGCUCAUCAGAUUAAAGAAAUCUAAACGGAACAAAACACAGACGGAUGA